CCUACGGGACGCACCAGUGGGGAAUAUUGCACAAUGGGCGCAAGCCUGAUGCAGCCAUGCCGCGUGUAUGAAGAAGGCCUUCGGGUUGUAAAGUACUUUCAGCGGGGAGGAAGGUGUUGAGGUUAAUGACCUCAGCAAUUGACGUUACCCGCAGAAGAAGCACCGGCUAACUCCGUGCCAGCAGCCGCGGUAAUACGGAGGGUGCAAGCGUUAAUCGGAAUUACUGGGCGUAAAGCGCACGCAGGCGGUCUGUCAAGUCGGAAGUGAAAUCCCCGGGCUCAACCUGGGAACUGCAUUCGAAACUGGCAGGCUAGAGUCUUGUAGAGGGGGGUAGAAUUCCAGGUGUAGCGGUGAAAUGCGUAGAGAUCUGGAGGAAUACCGGUGGCGAAGGCGGCCCCCUGGACAAAGACUGACGCUCAGGUGCGAAAGCGUGGGGAGCAAACAGGAUUAGAU
rnacentral:rRNA from 1 species